GCCCAGAGGCUGCUGGAAACAGGCAGCUUUACUGGUUGAAGCAGUCUGCUGCUUUGAUUUGGGAUCUUUAACUGGUUUAGUCCAGACCAGUGCCUCCCCGACCUGUAGAGCAGCUCCCAGCUUCUGGGCUACCUCCACCAUCUUGUGUCCAUGUGGAAAGGAAGCAAAAAAAAGUCACAGACUGCAAAGGGCUGCUCUACAUAAAUGUCUCUUACCAGCCAAGAGCAUGUACAGCUCCCCCAUCUUCGGCUGGAAGUUGAUGGCUGCGCUGAGGAAAUGGAAAGCAGAUGCAUACUGCUGCAUAGUCAAGUGGACAAGGCCCAAAUUAUAGAGAAUCUUCCAAUCUAAAGGCGCCAGGUAGUUGGCUCGUUUCAGGCAGCUGAUGGCCUGGAGGAGGGAGGGGGCACUUGGUGAGGGGCUGGGGCGAGCUCAGCAGACCCAGUAACUAUGAAUGCAAACCAAGAAGAGGAGGAGACACUCACUGCCACAUAUUUCUUCUUGCCAAAGAAGCACAUCCCGAUGUUAUUCCAGAGUGGAGGGCUUUCUGUAACAGCACACGCGACAACUUUGUAUUUGGUGAGGGCAACAUCAAAGUCCCCGUGGGUCUGCAUCAUGCUGCCCGCUGCCAAGAUGGCCUGAAAACAUGGAAAGUUCGUGAUGUAGUCAUUCCCAAAGGCUGUCGGAGUGAAGCAGCCUUCCUGAGUCUAGAUACUCAGUAGGCCCAUCAACACUGGUGGGACGGAAAAGCAUCUUCCAGGGACCUAUCCAUCCACAGCUGCUGGGACAAACGCUCAAGAGGAACACUCUCACGCCCCACACUGUGGCCCUUUGCCGUAAUAAAGAAAAGUCUCUGACUUUA